CCUACGGGUGGCAGCAGUGAGGAAUAUUGGUCAAUGGACGAAAGUCUGAACCAGCCAAGUAGCGUGAAGGAUGACGGCCCUAUGGGUUGUAAACUUCUUUUAUAUGGGAAUAAAAUGUUCCACGUGUGGGAUUUUGUAUGUACCAUAUGAAUAAAGAUCGGCUAACUCCGUUCCAGCAGCCGCGGUAAUACGGAGGGUCCGAGCGUUAUCCGGAUUUAUUGGGUUUAAAGGGAGCGUAGGGGGAUUGUUAAGUCCGUUGUGAAAGUUUGCGGCUCAACCGGAAAAGUGCAGUUGAAACUGGCAGUCUUGAGUACAGUAGAGGUGGGCGGAAUUCGUGGUGUAGCGGUGAAAUGCUUAGAGAUCACGAAGAACUCCGAUUGCGAAGGCAGUUCACUGGACUGCAACUGACACUGAGGCUCGAAAGUGUGGGGAUCAAACAGGAUUAGAUACCCGAGUAGUC
rnacentral:rRNA from 1 species